AGAGUUUGAUCCUGGCUCAGGAUGAACGCUGGCGGCGUGCUUAACACAUGCAAGUCGAACGGGGUACCCAUGACGGAGGCUUCGGCCAACUGAAUGGACUACCUAGUGGCGGACGGGUGAGUAACGCGUGAGGAACCUGCCUUGGAGUGGGGAAUAACAGCCAGAAAUGGCUGCUAAUACCGCAUAAUGCAGUUGGGUCGCAUGGCUCUGACUGCCAAAGAUUUAUCGCUCUAAGAUGGCCUCGCGUCUGAUUAGUUUGUUGGCGGGGUAACGGCCCACCAAGACGACGAUCAGUAGCCGGACUGAGAGGUUGGCCGGCCACAUUGGGACUGAGACACGGCCCAGACUCCUACGGGAGGCAGCAGUGGGGAAUAUUGGGCAAUGGGCGCAAGCCUGACCCAGCAACGCCGCGUGAAGGAAGAAGGCCCUCGGGUUGUAAACUUCUUUCGUCAGGGACGAAGAAAGUGACGGUACCUGACGGAUAAGCCACGGCUAACUACGUGCCAGCAGCCGCGGUAAUACGUAGGUGGCAAGCGUUAUCCGGAUUUACUGGGUGUAAAGGGCGUGUAGGCGGGACUGCAAGUCAGAUGUGAAAUUCCAGGGCUCAACUCUGGAACUGCAUUUGAAACUGUAGUUCUUGAGUGACGGAGAGGCAGGCGGAAUUCCGUGUGUAGCGGUGAAAUGCGUAGAUAUACGGAGGAACACCAGUGGCGAAGGCGGCCUGCUGGACAUUAACUGACGCUGAGGCGCGAAAGCGUGGGGAGCAAACAGGAUUAGAUACCCUGGUAGUCCACGCUGUAAACGAUGGAUACUAGGUGUGGGGGGGUCUGACCCCCUCCGUGCCGCAGCUAACGCAAUAAGUAUCCCACCUGGGGAGUACGAUCGCAAGGUUGAAACUCAAAGGAAUUGACGGGGGCCCGCACAAGCGGUGGAGUAUGUGGUUUAAUUCGACGCAACGCGAAGAACCUUACCAGGGCUUGACAUCCCGGUGACCGGCCUAGAGAUAGGCUUUCCCUUCGGGGCACCGGUGACAGGUGGUGCAUGGUUGUCGUCAGCUCGUGUCGUGAGAUGUUGGGUUAAGUCCCGCAACGAGCGCAACCCUUAUUGCUAGUUGCUACGCAAGAGCACUCUAGCGAGACUGCCGUUGACAAAACGGAGGAAGGUGGGGACGACGUCAAAUCAUCAUGCCCCUUAUGUCCUGGGCCACACACGUACUACAAUGGCGGUCAACAAAGAGAGGCAAACCCGCGAGGGGGAGCAAAUCUCCAAAAGCCGUCCCAGUUCGGAUUGCAGGCUGCAACCCGCCUGCAUGAAGUUGGAAUCGCUAGUAAUCGCGGAUCAGCAUGCCGCGGUGAAUACGUUCCCGGGCCUUGUACACACCGCCCGUCACACCAUGAGAGUCGGGAACACCCGAAGUCCGUAGCCUAACCGCAAGGGGGGCGCGGCCGAAGGUGGGUUCGAUAAUUGGGGUGAAGUCGUAACAAGGUAACC
rnacentral:rRNA from 1 species